rnacentral:rRNA from 1 species
UACAGAGGGUGCGAGCGUUAAUCGGAAUUACUGGGCGUAAAGCGUGCGUAGACGGUUACAUAAGUCGGGUGUGAAAGCCCCGGGCUCAACCUGGGAAUUGCAUUCGAGACUGCGUAGCUAGGGUGCGGAAGAGGGAAGCGGAAUUUCCGGUGUAGCGGUGAAAUGCGUAGAUAUGGAAGGAACACCAGUGGCGAAAGCGGCUUCCUGGUCCAGCACCGACGUCAGGCACGAAAGCGUGGGAGCAAACAGG